rnacentral:rRNA from 1 species
CGACGCAGAGCGGAACUUCAAAGCCUGUCUCAGUUCGGAUUGGAGUCUGCAACCCGACUCCAUGAAGCUGGAUUCGCUAGUAAUCGCGCAUCAGCCACGGCGCGGUGAAUACGUUCCCGGGCCUUGUACACACCGCCCGUCAAGCCAUGGAAGCCGGGAGUGCCUGAAGUGUGCAACCGCAAGGAGCGCCCUAAGGUAAAACCGGUGACUGGGGCUAAGUCGUAACAAGGUACC